GCUACACAGGCUGUCGAAACGGCAUCUUGGGGACGACGAGUAAUUACAAAUAUAAGCACGCACUGGCAGAUGGAAAGCCUGGUCUAUGGCCAGAGUCAUGAGACAGGGAAGCUUUUACUUCCCCCACCAGCCUCUGUUUCUCGCUGACCGCUGAUUUCUCCUCAGUAACAGCACUGUGGAGCUAUGCUGGCAGCGUGUGGGCACCUUGCACUGCACACAGGGCUGUCUGUGUGCCAGCUCCAGUGUGAGAGCCUAAGACACGCUGUUGUGCAUCCUCACAAAAUGAACCGACGGCCUCAGCCUGAGGGCAGGAGGGGACAGACAUCUGCUUAAAGUUUAUCUCUUUGACAGAUUCCCAAAUGAAACUUCAUCUUUAAAAUACAACAUUUUGCCUGUGUAUCCUACUCAGAACGAAAGCUGACUGUUCAUGAAGGCUUCACUACUUACCAGUGUUUUGGAAGGGGAUUCAUGAUAGGAAGGAGGACUGCGUCUCCAGGAACUAACAGUUCUGCGUAGCCCAGUCACUUUUGUUCUGCGCUGAUAUCUUACAGAACAAACAGAGCCCAGAUGUUUUCAGUAAACAGCUUUCAAACCCCACAGUUGAGAUCGGUGUCAAAUUUCCAGCCACGUGACCAACCUUGGAGCCAAGUUUAGAGUUGCUUUUGUGUUUACAUAAAGUCUGCGAGCUGAAUGACAUUGAAGUUUGGAGGUGGAAUGGAAGUUCUCCAUAACAAAUAUUUGACAGGACACACGGUUUAUCUUAUUUACAGGACUUUGAGCUUUGAAAAUAAGGUUACCAUAUUUUGGUUGAUGUAAUGUUUGAGGAUUAUUCAGCUCUCUCUUGCUCCCUGGUUUUGGAACAGUUGUUGCUUUUUAACUCAGAGCUGUUCCUAUUCCAGCCAUUAAACUAGCAGGGGAAAACCCAGGCAUUUUAAAGCUGAGGGGAACAUUUUCUACAGAUGUUAAAUGAAAUAUUGUGUAUUGCUGGACAUUCUGGCUUGUCCAACUACAGAGAGCUCUGCUUACACCCAGGAAGCCCUCUUGCUGAAGGUCUAGUUGCCUGCCUGAGUUUUUGCUCAGGGACUUAGCAGCAGAAAUCUGGCUUCUGUUUUUACAAGCUUGGAAUUGACUUUGCGCAAACACUGCCCAGUAUCUGUUUACAAGUCACGUUUUCAGCUCGCAGCAAGAUCGCUGCCAUCAUUUGGAAAGAUCGGGCACCAGAAGGGUCAGAGUCGAGUCAAUACAAAUGUUAUUCAAAUGGGUACAAGAGUGGUGGAAAUAUUCUCUGUUUUUAGGACCCCAGAAUGUCUUUGCCAGCAUCAAACCUUGCUGCAUGGUGCUGUGCUCGGCCUUGUCUGCACAAAAUUGCUCUAACCAUGCUACUUGCUGUAACAGGCUGAGAGAGUUGGGCCUGUUCAGCCUGGAGAAGAGAAGGCUCAGAGGAGAUCUUUUAGCGACCUUCCAGUACCUGAAGGGGAUACAAGAAAGCUGGAGAGGGGCUGUUCAUAAAGGCUUGUGGUGAUAGGGCCAGGGGCAGUGGGUGUAAACUGGAGAAGGGCAGAUUUAGACUGGACAUUAGGAAGAAUUUCUUCACCAUGAGAGUGGUGAGACACUGGCACAGGUUGCCCAGGG